rnacentral:rRNA from 1 species
AAAGGUGAACCUCGGAGGGAUCAUUA